rnacentral:ncRNA from 1 species
GGUUAUGCAAGAAAGAGCGCAGGGUGGAUGCCUUGGCACUAAGAGCCGAUGAAAGACGUGAUAAGCUGCGAAAAGCUUCGGGGAGGAGCAAAUAUCCCGUGAUCCGGAGAUGUCUGA